GGAGAGCUGGCUGCAACAUGGGUCACCCCACUGAUGGCCAAGUUUGGUUUGACAUAACUGGCAAGUCAGGGGUCUUCACAACUCCAUGUGCACCCUGUGGACCGUGUAUACUGGGUACAGGUACAGUAGGUGUACCCAUCCCACCUACUCAGUGGAAGAAGACAACCUUCCUGAUAGAGGAGGAUGAUCACACGGUCAAAUGCAUACCAGGAGCUGCACUCCCUUGCUAGAACCUGCAAACAAGAUCUC
rnacentral:lncRNA from 1 species